UUCCUUUCUUUUUCUCCAUUUCUUUUCCUUUGAUAGCUUAUUAGGGUUGAUUGUGAUGUUGUUCUUGUGUGGGUUUUGGUUUGAUUUGAGAAUGAGUGGAUUAGGGCUAUUGAAUCCGAGAAGGAGGAAGAAUGGUUGUGGAGGAAGAGCUUAGGAAUGGAUUUUGCUAGAAGAAGAUAACUUUAGAGGACAUGGUGUAAAGUGAUUCGUUUUGAGAGCGCGGCAUAGAUUUAGUACUCUUGGAGAAGUUCUGGGCAUAAUGGUUUAGUUAGGAUAUGAUUUAUUGUAUUAUAAUUGAAUUGUAUUAUCGAUAGUGAAAUGUUGUAAUUUGAUUUAUAGAUAGAAAUCCUUUGUAGCCUGUGCAUUUGGGCUUAGUGGUGGUCCAAGCGUGGCAUAACACCCUAUUGGUUUAGAGUUUGAAUUCGCUUCCGCAUUUAUUUUUAGUAUGGUUAGCAAGAAAGAUUGUUUAUUUAUGGUUUA